UACGUAGGGUGCGAGCGUUGCCCGGAUUUAUUGGGCGUAAAGGGCGCGUAGGCGGCCACGCACGUCCGUUGUGAAAUCGCCCGGCUCAACUGGGCGGGGUCAGCGGAUACGGCGUGGCUAGAGCAAGCUAGGGGGCAAUGGAAUUCCCGGUGUAGUGGUGGAAUGCGUAGAUAUCGGGAGGAACACCAGUGGCGAAGGCGGCAUCCUGGACCAAUUCUGACACUGAGGAGCGAAAGCCAGGGGAGCAAACGGG
rnacentral:rRNA from 1 species